AGUGACUAUGAGCCAGAAAGUAUGGCUGGUUUUUUUUUCUCUGCAACUUCUGCUGUAUAGUAACUUCAUCUCUUACAUUUGUUAGGCAAACCUGUAUGUGGGACUGGUGGUCAUGUGUGGCUUCGUCCUUUUUGAUACUCAACUCAUUAUUGAAAAGGCCGAACAUGGAGAUCAAGAUUAUAUCUGGCACUGCAUUGAUCUCUUCUUAGAUUUCAUUACUGUCUUCAGAAAACUCAUGAUGAUCCUGGCCAUGAAUGAAAAGGAUAAGAAGAAAGAGAAGAAAUGAAGUGACCAUCCAGCCUUUCCCAAUUAGACUUCCUCUCCUUCCACCCCUCAUUUCCUUUUUGCACACAUUACAGGUGGUGUGUUCUGUGAUAAUGAAAAGCAUCAGAAAAGCUUUUGUACUUUGUGGUUUCCUCUAUUUUGAAUUUUUUGAUCAAAAAACUGAUUAGCAGAAUAUAGUUUGGAGUUUGGCUUCAUCUUC
rnacentral:lncRNA from 1 species